rnacentral:lncRNA from 1 species
AUCCUUAGGUGUUGUGGUAAAACCAUUGAUGCAUCGCCCUAUAGCUAUAGGGUAAUAAGGUGGUUAAGUAACUUCAUUGCGAGAUACUACUUCUGCAACUGUUAUAACUUAUGCACUAGAAAACUAUGAUACUGCUCAGGAGACGACACCAUGGCCAAUGCUUUGAAUUGAUCAUCAACAUGAUCAUAUAUAUCCAAGGAUGUGCGUGCUCCAGAUAGUGACUUUCCCCGUGCUAAGGUUUUAUAUAGUGAACUGAACACCACGACAACAAUGGACAAAGCAAGAAUCAAUGUAAUUUAAGUCUUAAGCAUCAUAUAUAAACACAUAAUCUCCUCUAAUUCACCUAAACCCAAAUGUUAAAAAGAAAAUACACACUAAUUUCCAUGAAAACACAAAUGCACGUAUAGGAAUCAUAACAAUGCCUGAAUGCAAGUUUUAAAACUAAAAUAAGCUAAAAAUAUGUAGGUAAAACCAUAAAAUACUACAAGACAUCAAGUAUGCACAACUAAAAUCAACAGCCUUGUAAAUUUGUAAUUUUAAUCUUUAAAGCUCUUUACUAAAUCAAACUAACAAUAUAAGUGUUUAUUGAGAAUAUGCUAUUAACUUAGUUGUCUGUAAGUGUCAGUCAUCGGAUCAAGUCGGCUAAAUAGGCAAAUGAAUUGUCCCAGCUUUAAAUAUAUCUUUCAAUUAAUCACCAAUGGGUUUCCAGAAAAAGAAACUGAUGGGCACAAUCUACCAUUAAUAACUUUCUAAAUUUGGAAAUCAUAAUUGUGUUUCUCCACCUCCUCUUGUUCCUUUCUUCAUUCCAUGUGUUUCUCUAUCUUUUCUCUUUUGUUCUGUCCCACUAAACUUAUCUUCAAACAAGAGGCUGUGUGAUUGUGUUAUUUACAAAUAUUUAAAAAGUUUUGUAAACCAAUUAUGCAGAAUUUGAGAAGGAAUAGUCCCCAAAGAGACACGUAUCUUUUUGAGUAUCUUCAUACGACUUGCUGACUACGUAGAUUCCUCUGGUACCAUACUGCCAUGAUUGAUUGAUUUUACAUACGUCAAAAUUACAUGCGUGAACCUUUAUACAAUUUGUAAAUCAUGUCCCUUAUUACUUACAUAAUUACUGAAGUUUAGAUAAUUAUUUUUGUUCAUCUGACCAUUAAGUUCCGAGUUUUUGUUGUAUAGUCUCUCUAGACUUGAACUAACCCGGGCCAGUUUUUGAUAAUAUUUGUGGCUAGUUGAUGUCCUUUUCUUCUAAACUCUAAUAUCCAUUUGUAGAUCUAGUUUUGGAUAUAGCUUUACUGUUUCAAUCAAAAAGUCAUCGACUAUUAUAAUGAAUGAGACUACAACAAAACUAUAUUUUUUAUUAAUUAAUUGAGUAAUUUAUUUAUCGAUAUAUUAAUUGAACCAAAAACUAAAUUUGGGAUUAUAAAAUUAUAUUAUUUUAUAGAGACUUUUAGUGUAUAUUAAUUUAUAGAGUAUUAAUUUAAAGAGGUUACUAGAUCUCGAUCCGUGCAACCGCGCGGGUUUUUGUUUUCAUUUAUUUUUAUAUAAAUAUUUUGUUUUCAAUUCUAAAUUGGUAUAUAUUAUAAUAUGUGUCUAUCAAUUUUUAAAACAUAAUAAGUUUACGGUAUAUUUUUUCAUUGAAUAGAUUGUUUUAAACUUUCACAUGUAUUUGUAUCUUCUUCUAUAUAUAUUUUUUCGGAUUAUUAUUUUACUAUUAAAAUUGUAACUAUAUAUAUAAAGAUUAGUAAAUAUUGUUUUAUUGUCAUAUUCAAAUAUAUUGUAACAUUUCACAAAUUUAGAAAUUUUUUUUUUUUAAAUAAACUUUUCGCUUCAUAGGUUUAUAUUAUCGAGUAAAUAAUUAAAUAUUUAGUUUUUGUUUAAUUUUUAAAAUAAGCUAUAUAGUUUAAAAUUUGUUUUCAUUGGUUUACGAUAGUAAAGAUUAAUCAUUGUUAGAUAAUAUGAUUUUUUUUUAUUUUAAAAAAACAUCUUUACCUAUCAAUUUUUAAAACAUAAUAAGUUUACGGUAUAUUUUUUCAUUGAAUAGAUUGUUUUAAACUUUCACAUGUAUUUGUAUCUUCUUCUAUAUAUAUUUUUUCGGAUUAUUAUUUUACUAUUAAAAUUGUAACUAUAUAUAUAAAGAUUAGUAAAUAUUGUUUUAUUGUCAUAUUCAAAUAUAUUGUAACAUUUCACAAAUUUAGAAAUUUUUUUUUUUUAAAUAAACUUUUCGCUUCAUAGGUUUAUAUUAUCGAGUAAAUAAUUAAAUAUUUAGUUUUUGUUUAAUUUUUAAAAUAAGCUAUAUAGUUUAAAAUUUGUUUUCAUUGGUUUACGAUAGUAAAGAUUAAUCAUUGUUAGAUAAUAUGAUUUUUUUUUAUUUUAAAAAAACAUCUUUACAGUUUUAAAAGUUAACAUUGACAAAUAUUUAAAUAUUUAACAUAUGGAGGUAUAGUAUUACAACAUUAAAUUAUAUCUAUUUAAUUUAUACUAUCUAUAAAUACAAUGGAUCAUCUAUUCUUUAAAUCCAGUUAUUGAUAGUCCAAUAAAAAUUUCUGGUAGACCCAAAAUUUAAAAGAUAAGAUUAGAGAUUAAAUGUAACAUGACGUUCUAGGAAUAGGUCUAUUAGGUCCAUUUUUAAAAAAAAAUCACACAUGAAUCAAGGUUAUGACUUCUGUUUUAAUAUAUAAGAUACUGUAUUUGUGUUUUAAAAUUUUAAAUUCAAUAAUACUCAAAAAUAAUAAAAGGGACAAAAAGAAUACGCAAAAACAUCAAAAACUUAAUUCUUUUUUUAUUAUUCUUACUACUAAAAGAAAAGAAUUCUUAAAAAAAUUUACUUAUUAAAGGUUGUUAGACCCGUUAAUUAACUAGCAAUAGAUUUGGUCUUACAAUAAUAUUUGACUAACAAUAUGUAAGCUAAAAUUUCUCUAACAAUAAUUGAUUACACCACUUUUUUUUGAGCAUGACAAAGUUAUACAACAAAUAAACUUGUAUUUAUUAGACCAUAUCACAUGACAAUGAUAUACACAAAUAUAGUUUUUAUACUCAAUGAUAUACACAAUAUAGUUUUUAUACUUUAUUAUACUCUUUUCUAAACAUACAAUAUAGUUUAUAUACUUUAUUACACUCUUUUCUAAACAUCUAUAUAGUUCCAAAUAUUUACAAAAUCAAAUUUAAUACAAACACUUUAACAAACCAUAUGUAAAAAAUAAAACUAUAUAUUUUACGUUAAAUUAUUUUUAUAGUUUAAAAUAAAAUUUGUAAUUUAAUAUAAUAUUAAAAAUUAUUUAAAAAAAAUUACAAAUCUAUACUACUAAAUUAGCCAAAAUCAACCAAGUAAAUCUUAAGUCUCACAAGUUCAAUAAAUGUAACUCUUAUAAAAUGCACACAAAAUAUAAUGUGGGAGAGUAGUAUGGGCAUCGGGUCUUCUGGUUGAGUACCGAUCGGUUCUUUUUGGUCUAAGUUUUUUGGAUUCUAAACAUUUAGGUAUUUAAAAUUUUCUGGUUCGGAUACGGGUCGAUUUUUUUGGGAUCAAGGUCCACAAUUCAAAUACCUACAAAAUACCUAUAAUUUUUAGGUACGUAACGAACCAAAUUGGUUUGGAGUUUUUAGGACUCGAAAAAUAUUCGAAGUACCCAAAAAUUAAAAAAAUACUGAAACCCAAAAAAUAUCCGAAAACACAAAUAAAUUCCUGAAAAAUAUUUCAAUUCCCAAAAAACCCAAAGUUUACGAUAAAUAUGACAUGAGGAACCUAAAAUACCUAAAAAACAUUUCUUUAUACCCAAAAUAUUUUUUUAUUUGAAUUUUACCCGAAACUAUAAUCAGAACUCUGGAUCCGAAACUUAAAAAAUUAUUCAUAAUACUGAAAACACAUUCAAAAUACCAAAUACAUAUCUGAAAAACUCAAAUAUACCUAAUAUACAUAAAGCAUUUAAUAUACUUUGAAUACCCAACUGGGUCUCAGAUAGGACCCGUAAUCGAACAGAAACCGCAAGUCGACAAAAAAAUCAAAUAUGUACUUUGCCCUAGAUCCAAACCCAAACCACAACUAUAUUUCUUGGUUGAUUUUGGUUUGGUUUUUCGGAUCCGGUAAAAUAUCUAAGACUAAAAAGAGUUAUAUAAAAGUGUACAUACAAAAUCUUAUAUAUACAAAUUCACAAAUUAUAUAAUUUUAAACAAGUGCCCUUCUUCGAUAUAAUGACAUUGUAACAGGAUAAUGUACGCCAAUUCUAAAAUACUGAUUCGCAAAUUUUGUUUAUAAUCCAAAGAAAAACCCGCACUUUCGAAGCGCGGAUCAAAUCUAGUUUUCCUUAUAGAUAAACACGAUAUCUUAACAUGUAAUGCUGUAGACAUAAAUAUAAACCCGGAAAAGAAAAUCCAACAAGCCUAUAUUUACAGACUAUUUACAUGUAGCCUUCCUGCCUUAGUCUCUCUUGACUAAAACAUUGAGAAUCUUCAAAUGUGUUUGGAGAAAUUACAUUGUUUUAUUUUAUUAUGUAUAUCAAUGUUUAAUAAUUCCAAAUGCACCAACACUUAACUAUUCUAGGGGUUGAAUAAAUCAAUGAUUUUAAGAAUUUUCAUUGUUCAAGUUCGGUGUGUGCUAUCUAUAUGUAUAAAACAAAGUACGAACAUUAUCCAAUACCACGAGUCUAUAAAUCCUCCACAACCAUUGAAUCCCCUUGCACUUCUCAGAAAACCCUCUCUCUUAAUUAGUCUUUAUCUCAUCUCUAUCUCUAUCUCCCUCUAAUAUAUACACACAACUAAAUAAAGCUUAGGAACUGAAAUAUAUCUAAUCAUAAAAGGAAUGAAGAAGAGGUGUAAUGAAAAUGAAGAAGGUGUAGAGCAGAGAAAAGGGCCUUGGACGCUUGAGGAAGACACUAUUCUCACCAAUUACAUUUCCCAUAACGGUGAAGGCCGAUGGAAUGUACUCGCUAAAUCUUCUGGUAAUAUUCUUGUUCUUUUACAUUUUCUUGUUUUUCCAGAAAAAAAUGUAAAAUUGCACUUCAUGUGUGCAUGAUACUUAGUUAUUCUAGAAUCAAUAUGUAGUUUAUUGCCACUUCAUAUCAUACGCAGUUUGCAUUGAAAAUUGAUCUCUUUCUUACAAAAAAAAAAACAGGGCUAAAGAGAAAAGGAAAAAGUUGCAGAUUACGAUGGUUAAAUUACCUCAAACCCGACAUAAAGCGAGGGAAUCUCACUCCUCAAGAACAACUCUUAAUCCUCGAACUCCAUUGUCAAUGGGGUAAUAGGUAUGUUCUAAUGUAUUAGUUUUGUAGACUUUUAUUCUUU